rnacentral:misc_RNA from 1 species
AACGCACCUUGCGCUCCUUGGUAUUCCGAGGAGCAUGCCUGUUUGAGUGUCAUUAAUCUCUCAACCUUGCCAGCUUUAUUGUUGUUGCAAGGCUUGGAUGUGAGGGUUUGCCGGCUCCUUUUUGUUGAGCCAGCUCCCUUUAAAUGUAUUAGCAGAACCUCUGUGAACCAUCAUUAGUGUGAUAAUAUAUCUACAUUAUUGGUGCAAGCCUCCUUUAUUGGAGUUGGAUCAGCUUCUAAUUGUCUCCGGACAACGUAUUAAUCUUUACUGAUUAGUAUACUUUGACAACUUGACCUCAAAUCAGGUAGGACUACCCGCUGAACUUAA